rnacentral:rRNA from 1 species
GCGAAAGCGGCUCUCUGGUCUGUCACUGACGCUGAGGCUCGAAAGCGUGGGUAGCGAACAGGAUUAGAUACCCUGGUAGUCCACGCCGUAAACGAUGAGUGCUAGGUGUUAGGCCCUUUCCGGGGCUUAGUGCCGGAGCUAACGCAAUAAGCACUCCGCCUGGGGAGUACGACCGCAAGGUUGAAACUCAAAGGAAUUGACGGGGGCCCGCACAAGCGGUGGAGCAUGUGGUUUAAUUCGAAGCAACGCGAAGAACCUUACCAGGUCUUGACAUCCCGAUGCUAUUCUUAGAGAUAGGAAGUUACUUCGGUACAUCGGAGACAGGUGGUGCAUGGUUGUCGUCAGCUCGUGUCGUGAGAUGUUGGGUUAAGUCCCGCAACGAGCGCAACCCUUAUUGUUAGUUGCCAUCAUUAAGUUGGGCACUCUAGCGAAACUGCCGGUAAUAAACCGGAGGAAGGUGGGGAUGACGUCAAAUCAUCAUGCCCCUUAUGACCUGGGCUACACACGUGCUACAAUGGUCGGUACAACGAGUUGCGAGCCGGUGACGGCAAGCUAAUCUCUGAAAGCCGAUCUCAGUUCGGAUUGGAGGCUGCAACUCGCCUCCAUGAAGUCGGAAUCGCUAGUAAUCGCGGAUCAGCACGCCGCGGUGAAUACGUUCCCGGGCCUUGUACACACCGCCCGUCACACCACGAGAGUUUGUAACACCCGAAGUCGGUGAGGUAACCUUUAGGGGCCAGCCGCCUAAGGUGGGAGGAGGUG